GGAAUAUGAAGGGAGAAUGAAACAAAACUGCUCCGCUCAGGGAACUUGGAAAGGAAAUUGAAAAGGCAAGGCACAGGCUGGAAGAAAAUAUUUGAAAAAGAUUUAUGUGAACUUCUUUCUGGAUUAUACAAAAUAUUUUUAGAUAUUCUUACAACUCUAAAAUAAGAUAACUCCUUAAAAAUGUGAAUUCUACCAAAGGAGAGAUGAAGAUGACGAAUAUAUUCAAAGAUGCUGAAAAUCACUUAUUUAUUAUUAGGAAGUUACAAGCUAAAGCAUAAUGAGAUACCACUACAACCUACUAAACUGACUAAAAUUAAUCAGACUAACCAGGUGUUGGCAAGAAACAGGGACACUGAGACUCUCACACUGCUGGAAGGAAUGUAAAAUGCUAAAACUUCUUUGGAAAUGAGUUCAGUAACUUUUUAAACAGUUGAAAAUAGACCUAUCAUGCAAACCAGCAAUCCCACUUCUAGGUAUUUAUACAAGGAAAAUGACAACAUAUGCCCACAUAAAGACUUGUGCACAAAUGACGGUAGCAGCUUUGUGAUAAUUGCUAAAAACUAGAAACUUGUCAAGUGUCCAACAGUCUAUAUGAGUCUCUUUGACACAAGUCUCUGGUACAGAUGAAGACCAGAGAGCUUGGGAGUCACUGCUGAAGAGAAGAGUGAAUGAGUAAACAAAGGUAGAUGAGACAAAGAACAUACCGAAUGUCAGGAUUCAGAUGGGACUGCUGUAUGAUAUUAAUGAACACAGAUAUCUGGAGAAACCAUGUCAAAGCUUUCCAAGAGAGACUGUGAACAGUACCUGGGGAACACCAAAAA
rnacentral:antisense_RNA from 1 species